rnacentral:lncRNA from 1 species
AAAAACAGUUCAUAAACACAUGCUUAGCAAAGAGCCUGUGCUUGUAUGUUUACAUAGCUAUUGAUCUAUAAUGUUCUUAAAAUCGUAGAGCCAAAUCUUGAAGCCCUCACUUUGUUUUUCCAUUGACAGAAAUUUGUGUAAGAGGGAAAAAAGAAGUCAGUUUAAUGUACGUAAGCCUGGGAUAUUUUUUACCCAGGUUGUGCUCAAGGAAGGUUGAGAAGAACUCCUGCAGAUAUAAGCGUUGGGAGAUGGGCAGUCCCUCGUCUUGGUGUAAGAUCAUCAGUGGGAAUGUGGUUGAGGAGGCCUUGGUUUUCCAGCUCAACUACAUGUCAACAUUUCAGGCAGCAGACUAUGAACAUCUGAACUGGCUCCAUGAAGUCCAGCAUCUGUCUUCAACAGGAAAAAGACACAACAGGACCAAAAGCUGUCACUGGCAUUUGAACAAGUUCCUACUUGACUUCAGAAAGAAUAGCAUUUUCCAGUGGAAAACCUCUUGGUUCAAAAUGUUUUGACUGGCUCUACUAGGACUAGAAACAGAGGGCCACUGCAGGAAAAAUAAAUACUGUGCCUGUUCUCCUUAACGCA